rnacentral:rRNA from 1 species
GAUGAACGCUGGCGGCGUGCUUAACACAUGCAAGUCGAACGGAAAGACCCUGCGUUUGUGGGGUGCUCGUUAGGCGAACGGGUGAGUGACACGCGUGUAACAUGUCCUUGACUGUGGGAUAACAUUAGGAAACUGGGGCGAAUACCGGAUAGGAGCUACUGAAGCAUGGGGGGGGAUGGUAAGUUUCGGCGGUUGGGGAUGGACUGGCGGCUUAUCAGCUUGAUGGUGGGGUAGUGGAUUACCAAGGCUUUGACGGGUAGCCGGCCUGAGAGGGUGAACGGCGACCAUGGUACUGCGAGACGGAGCAGACGGCUACGGGACGCAGCAGGCGGGAGCCUUACGCAAUGGGCGGAAGCCUGAUACAGCAACGUCGGGUGCGUGAUGCCCGCCUUCGAGGUAUAAACCGCUUUCGCCUGUGACGAAGCGUGAGUGACGGUAAUGAGUAAAAAAGCAACGGCUAACUACGUG